GAUGAACGUUGGCGGCGUGCCUAAUACAUGCAAGUCGAGCGAACAGAUAAGGAGCUUGCUCCUUUGACGUUAGCGGCGGACGGGUGAGUAACACGUGGGUAACCUACCUAUAAGACUGGAAUAACUCCGGGAAACCGGGGCUAAUGCCGGAUAACAUUUAGAACCGCAUGGUUCUAAAGUGAAAGAUGGUUUUGCUAUCACUUAUAGAUGGACCCGCGCCGUAUUAGCUAGUUGGUAAGGUAACGGCUUACCAAGGCAACGAUACGUAGCCGACCUGAGAGGGUGAUCGGCCACACUGGAACUGAGACACGGUCCAGACUCCUACGGGAGGCAGCAGUAGGGAAUCUUCCGCAAUGGGCGAAAGCCUGACGGAGCAACGCCGCGUGAGUGAUGAAGGUCUUCGGAUCGUAAAACUCUGUUAUUAGGGAAGAACAAAUGUGUAAGUAACUGUGCACGUCUUGACGGUACCUAAUCAGAAAGCCACGGCUAACUACGUG
rnacentral:rRNA from 1 species